UGCAGACAGUGAGCAGGACCGAGGAUCUCAAUGUGGACGGGGUUGACAAGAAGAGCCCUGGGCCCGGAAGGCUAUCGCCCCCCCCCCCCUUGCAUUUUGCACUUCCGCAUCGGCAUUUUUAGCCCCCACAACUGCUUCUCUCCUGGAUCCCAGUUUCUCUCCAUGUUCCGAUUUUCCACCUGCCGCUACGGCCCUUUGAAACCUGCGCAUGUGCAAUUUAAAGUGGUGAGCGGUGUACAUGCGUUGGUGCCAAGAAACGCGCACUUUCUUAAGGCACAUAGUUUACAACAGAGGAACAUAUUUUCAAUAGAGAGUCAUGAUUCGAAUCAAGAUGGAGAAUGAGAUAUUUAGACCCUCUGCUGACAUGGUAUAACAGUUGCUAUUGAUCAGAAACCUAACUGGACUGGCUACAUAAAUAUUGUGGAUACUGGAGCAGAAUAGAAGCUGACUUUUUAUGACAAGUAAUUCACCUCUCUCCUCAAAACCUAUCCAUCACCUACAAGAAAGAAAAUACUGACUCCUCCACCACUUCUGGAAUUAAUGUUGAGUUUUUCAUACAAAAGAAGGUGCACAACUAAGAACUAGUGGGAAAAGUGAAUUAUUAGAGGAGGUCAUCAACAGCAUCAGAAGGCUGAGCACUACCCAAUAGUCACACAAAUAGCUGACAAAUUUAGAACACUGGCUAUUAAUGAGACUCAAAUUCUUGAGCAGUACUAAGAGACCCAAAGGAAAUAUGUUUGAUUGAAUUCCAAGAGCAUUCAUGAUUGUUCUUUAUGUAAAACUGAAGCCUUUUGUAAAAACAAAUAAGUUUUAUUUUUAUAAUAAAAAAAUUUCCUCUCCUUUAUAUUGUCUCCUGUCAAAAAUUAAUCCAAUGUGCUGAUCUAACCUUUCUAUUUUCAUUCUUACAUUUACGUUACAUUUACUGUUGAGAUCUGUAUCAUUGUUUUUUAAAAUUAUAUGCAAGUCUUCAGAAAUCACAAGCUGUUGAUUCUGAAUCUACGAAAUAAUACACAAAAUUUCAAAGAAUAACACUGUUGUUCUAUUUAUGAAGCAUUUUUUGAGGAGCCAUAGUGAGAAGUGUGAUACAAUGAGCAAUAUAUAGAGAGCCCAAUGUGUGCAUACUCAGUUGAAGUGGGAGCUAUAAAUAACAUGUGUUACGUAUCAAUAUAUCAGACAUUUUCUAAUGAGAGCCUACUGUACCUUAGCUGUAGGCUAACAAAGUAAGUACAAAGCUCGUUAUGUAUGUGGUCCCCACAGUUCUAGUUAAACAGAAGUUAGGUAAACAUCUUAGAACUAUUUUCAACUAUAUUUUUCCUGGAGGGAGUACAGUUGUUUUUAUCCAGUGUAAUUAAUAUAUAUGAUUUGAAACACAUUCCUGAACCAACUCUAAAGGAAGUCUGCACAUAAAACUGAAUGGAAUGCAUUAUUACUUGUUAGUUUGUGCCUAAACAACAGCAGAUAUCUUAGGUAAGGAAUGCAAUUCUUUCUACAGUAUGUCUGGUAUGCCCACUCUCAGCAUUCUUUUACUUAGGGGGUAUAGGGUGUGGCCAGUCAUGCUUAGACACUUUCCUCCCACAUCCUGUCUCUGUAACCCAACAAAUGCCAGGAGUAGAUGCCAGCAACUGUAACUUAUGCACGAUUAAAAAAAAGUCAUUCAAACCUUGAAAUUAUGUUUAAUGUUAUAUAAAGAUUGGCAGUGAUGAAUGGGAUUUUUGGUGUAGUUUGGAGGAAUGGGGGCUUUGUGGGUGCAAGAUUGGUAAAUAAUUUUUACAACUGAUGAUAUUCCAUUUUUUCCACUCACCCCAACCACAAUCUAUCCUGAUUUUUUCAAGACUCUUUUCUUGAAUUUCUUUAUCAUUUACUACAUAGCAAAAGGCAGUAGGAGGAAGGCACAAAGGUGAAUAGUUCAUUUUUUAUGAAAACAAAUCUGGAAAUCUGAAACAAAAACAGAGAAUGCUGAAGAAACUUAGCAGUUCAUUUUAGUAUUGCUCUUCAUCAUUACAAAUACUAUUGAAUAAAGAUGGCAUGGCAAGGUUUUCAUUUGUGCCAUUUUUAA